UAAACGAUGUCUACUUGGAGGUUGUGCCCUUGAGGCGUGGCUUCCGGAGCUAACGCGUUAAGUAGACCGCCUGGGGAGUACGGCCGCAAGGUUAAAACUCAAAUGAAUUGACGGGGGCCCGCACAAGCGGUGGAGCAUGUGGUUUAAUUCGAUGCAACGCGAAGAACCUUACCUGGUCUUGACAUCCACAGAAGAAUCCAGAGAUGGAUUUGUGCCUUCGGGAACUGUGAGACAGGUGCUGCAUGGCUGUCGUCAGCUCGUGUUGUGAAAUGUUGGGUUAAGUCCCGCAACGAGCGCAACCCUUAUCCUUUGUUGCCAGCGGUUAGGCCGGGAACUCAAAGGAGACUGCCAGUGAUAAACUGGAGGAAGGUGGGGAUGACGUCAAGUCAUCAUGGCCCUUACGACCAGGGCUACACACGUGCUACAAUGGCGCAUACAAAGAGAAGCGACCUCGCGAGAGCAAGCGGACCUCAUAAAGUGCGUCGUAGUCCGGAUUGGAGUCUGCAACUCGACUCCAUGAAGUCGGAAUCGCUAGUAAUCGUGGAUCAGAAUGCCACGGUGAAUACGUUCCCGGGCCUUGUACACACCGCCCGUCACACCAUGGGAGUGGGUUGCAAAAGAAGUAGGUAGCUUAACCUUCGGGAGGGCGCUUACCACUUUGUGAUUCAUGACUGGGGUGAAGUCGUAACAAGGUAACCGUAGGGGAACCUGCGGUUGGA
rnacentral:rRNA from 1 species